rnacentral:misc_RNA from 1 species
UUAUAAUAUUUAUUUAAUAAUAUACCGGUUUGACUCUGGUUAAACCUUAACAUUCUGCCUUCCACAGUUCAAUUACUGGGCCAUGUUUAAAAACAUUGUUUUUAUCAACUUACAAAGUAAAAAGUAGGAAGAAAAAGUAAGGGAACCAUUUAAUUUUAACAAAUCCACUAUGGCCAUCUUUAGAAGCAAGGUGAACAACCAAGAACCAUAGCAACAAUCAAAGAACAGUUUAAAUCUGGAGCAGCAACAACAAUCACACACUAAAGAAAUUGUUCACUUCAGAAACACAAAAGUGCUAUUAAUUGAUUUGGUUCCCCAAAACUAAAACAUAAACACUAUUAAUAUUUUAAUAAAUGAAUCGGCAUCAUCCAAAAAAGACAAUUCCAUGUGAACAGGAUAAGCAUUCAAACAGAAACACAUACCUCCAAAUACGUUCUAUCACUG